rnacentral:rRNA from 1 species
CACUCCUGCGGGAGGCAGCAGUGGGGAAUUUUGGACAAUGGGCGAAAGCCUGAUCCAGCAAUGCCGCGUGAGUGAAGAAGGCCUUCGGGUUGUAAAGCUCUUUUGUCAGGGAAGAAACGGUGAAAGCUAAUAUCUUUUGCUAAUGACGGUACCUGAAGAAUAAGCACCGGCUAACUACGUGCCAGCAGCCGCGGUAAUACGUAGGGUGCAAGCGUUAAUCGGAAUUACUGGGCGUAAAGCGUGCGCAGGCGGUUUUGUAAGUCUGAUGUGAAAUCCCCGGGCUCAACCUGGGAAUUGCAUUGGAGACUGCAAGGCUAGAAUCUGGCAGAGGGGGGUAGAAUUCCACGUGUAGCAGUGAAAUGCGUAGAUAUGUGGAGGAACACCGAUGGCGAAGGCAGCCCCCUGGGUCAAGAUUGACGCUCAUGCACGAAAGCGUGGGGAGCAAACAGGAUUAGAUACCCGUGUAGUCCC